rnacentral:rRNA from 1 species
CGGGGUGAGUAACGCGUGGAUAACCUGCCUCACACUGGGGGAUAACAGUUAGAAAUGGCUGCUAAUACCGCAUAAGCGCACAGUACCGCAUGGUACGGUGUGAAAAACCCAGGUGGUGUGAGAUGGAUCCGCGUCUGAUUAGCCAGCUGGCGGGGUAACGGCCCACCAAAGCGACGAUCAGUAGCCGACCUGAGAGGGUGACCGGCCACAUUGGGACUGAGACACGGCCCAA